rnacentral:rRNA from 1 species
UACGAAGGGGGCUAGCGUUGUUCGGAAUUACUGGGCGUAAAGCGCGCGUAGGCGGUGAUCUUUGUCAGAGGUGAAAGCCUGGGGCUCAACUCCAGAAUUGCCUUUGAAACGGGAUCGCUUGAGUCCGAGAGAGGAUGGCGGAAUUCCUAGUGUAGAGGUGAAAUUCGUAGAUAUUAGGAAGAACACCGGUGGUGUAGACGGCUUUCUGGACCGUAACUGACGCUGAGACACGAAAGCGUGGGUAGCAAACAGG